CAGUAGCCACGGGAAUACGAGGGGGGCAAGCGUUGUUCGGAAUUAUUGGGCGUAAAGGGUGCGUAGGCGGUCUGAUAAGUCUUAUGUGAAAUCUAUGGGCUCAACCCAUAGUCUGCAUAGGAAACUGUCGGGCUUGAGAGUGGGAGAGGUGAGUGGAACUGCGAGUGUAGAGGUGAAAUUCGUAGAUAUUCGCAAGAACACCAGUGGCGAAGGCGGCUCACUGGCUCGAAACUGACGCUGAGGCACGAAAGCGUGGGGAGCAAACAGGAUUAGAUACCCCCGUAGUCCCUGUCUCUUAUAC
rnacentral:rRNA from 1 species